AUUGGAGACUUUUAGGUAGCACAAAAGAAAAUGUCGUACAAAUUUCAGAAGAUAUUUAUGUAAGUAACAAAGAAGGAAAGUAAGAUUCUUUAUUAGCUAUAUUUGGGAAGAAACCCCCUUUCCUUUCUUGAAAAUUCAGCCACACCAUUCUAAUCAGUAGAGAAAGAUUAAUCAAUGGCUCGGCAGAAGAUAAAGAUAAAGAAAAUAGAUAAUGCAACAGCAAGACAAGUAACAUUUUCAAAGAGAAGAAGAGGGAUCUUCAAGAAAGCUGAGGAGUUAUCAGUGUUGUGUGAUGCUGAAGUUGGUCUUAUUAUUUUCUCAACAACUGGGAAACUCUAUGAAUAUGCCAGUUCAAGUAUGAAGGACAUAAUUACAAGGUAUACUCAGCACUCCCAACAAAACAACAAAUUGGACAAACCUCUACAAUUGCAGGUAGAGAAAAGCUUGUCAGCUGAAUUGCAAAAGGAAUUUGCUGAUAAAACCCAACAACUAAGGGGACUGAAAGGAGAAGAUUUUGAAGGGUUAAACAUGGAGGGGUUGCAGCAAUUGGAGAGGACACUUGAAACAGGACUCAAGCGUGUGAUUGAGAUGAAGGAAAAGAAAAUUAUGAAUGAGAUUGGUGCACUUCAGAUAAAGAGUGUCCAGUUAGAAGAGGAGAACAAUAAUUUAAAGCAAAAGAUGGUUAUGCUAUUUAAGGGAAAAAAUCCUCUCUUGGGGGACUUGGAUGUUACUACCAUGCAGGAAAUAGUCUCAUGUGAGUCCAUGAAUAAUGUAUGCAGCUGCAAUAGUGGACAUUCUCUUGAAGAUGAUUCCUCUGAUACUUCUCUUAGGUUAGGGUAAGCAACCUAUGACAUUCCCGAAUCCGGUUGCUCCCUAGCCGUUUAUAGUCAAUGUUGCCAUUUCCUAAAUUGAAUGGUGAUGAGGGAGCAAUGAGGAAUGGACUCUAACUUCUUGUGGAAGCAAUAACUUCUUAUAUAUGAAGCUGAAAUAACUUUCUAUAUAAGUUAAAUCAAAUAUAUAUAUUAACUUCAUGUUGUAUGUGUGUAAAGUUUAGAACAUGUAUCUCUAACCUGUUGUGCACUCUAAACAAUUUGUUUA